CUGAUUAGCCAAAAAAGGCAACUAAGCAGCUGUUUCAUUUUGCCCUCGGGUUCGUUAUAUAAAGAACUUUCUGUCUUCUUUAGUUGGUGCUCUGUGAUACAGGAAUUGCUUCCUACUCGGCUAAACUUCUUAAAAUCCUGCUUUAUCCUAAACUCAUAAGGACGUAAAAGAGCCAAAGAGCCAACCAAGAAAUCAGAGAGUGCCAACUUCAGGAUGUCUCUACAAAUCCCAAUAACAAUUGGGCUUGGUGUGCUAGGUGUCGUCAUGCAAUGUGUUAUAAGUAUUAUCAAGAUCCUGAGCAGCUCUGGAGAUGGCAAUAGGUAUAUGGGAACCCAGGAGACAUCCAAAAAGCAUUCAGAGAAAUUCAAGUGAAAUCAGCCAUGUAAUCAAGCAAAUUUAAAGAGCAUCUCUCACUGGGACCUGAAGAAGUCCUCUGCCUUCCGGGCUUUCAUAAACCAAGAUCUCCCUUUCCUGACAAAUAAGGAAAUAUCUCACCCACUGCUUGCACUCUGAAUCUUGUGAUUUGAUUCAGUUUGAUAAAUCAUAGUCAAUUGAAUAAAUAUGAAUUUAA